CAUGCAAGUCGAGCGGUAGCACAGGGGAGCUUGCUCCCCGGGUGACGAGCGGCGGACGGGUGAGUAAUGUCUGGGAAACUGCCUGAUGGAGGGGGAUAACUACUGGAAACGGUAGCUAAUACCGCAUAACGUCGCAAGACCAAAGAGGGGGACCUUCGGGCCUCUUGCCAUCAGAUGUGCCCAGAUGGGAUUAGCUAGUAGGUGGGGUAAUGGCUCACCUAGGCGACGAUCCCUAGCUGGUCUGAGAGGAUGACCAGCCACACUGGAACUGAGACACGGUCCAGACUCCUACGGGAGGCAGCAGUGGGGAAUAUUGCACAAUGGGCGCAAGCCUGAUGCAGCCAUGCCGCGUGUAUGAAGAAGGCCUUCGGGUUGUAAAGUACUUUCAGCGGGGAGGAAGGUGUUGUGGUUAAUAACCACAGCAAUUGACGUUACCCGCAGAAGAAGCACCGGCUAACUCCGUGCCAGCAGCCGCGGUAAUACGGAGGGUGCAAGCGUUAAUCGGAAUUACUGGGCGUAAAGCGCACGCAGGCGGUCUGUCAAGUCGGAUGUGAAAUCCCCGGGCUCAACCUGGGAACUGCAUUCGAAACUGGCAGGCUAGAGUCUUGUAGAGGGGGGUAGAAUUCCAGGUGUAGCGGUGAAAUGCGUAGAGAUCUGGAGGAAUACCGGUGGCGAAGGCGGCCCCCUGGACAAAGACUGACGC
rnacentral:rRNA from 1 species